UACAGAGGUGGCAAGCGUUGUUCGGAAUUACUGGGCGUAAAGGGCGCGUAGGCGGCCUUCUAAGUCAGACGUGAAAUCCCCAGGCUUAACUUGGGAACUGCGUCUGAUACUGGGAGGCUUGAGUGCGGGAGAGGUGAGUGGAACUGCGAGUGUAGAGGUGAAAUUCGUAGAUAUUCGCAAGAACACCAGUGGCGAAGGCGGCUCACUGGCCCGGUACUGACGCUGAGGCACGAAAGCGUGGGGAGCAAACAGG
rnacentral:rRNA from 1 species